rnacentral:rRNA from 1 species
GAUCCUGGCUCAGGAUGAACGCUAGCGACAGGCCUAACACAUGCAAGUCGAGGGGCAGCGGGGAGGUAGCAAUACCUUUGCCGGCGACCGGCGCACGGGUGAGUAACACGUAUGCAAUCCACCUGUAACAGGGGGAUAACCCGGAGAAAUCCGGACUAAUACCCCAUAAUAUGGGCGCUCCGCAUGGAGAGUUCAUUAAAGAGAGCAAUUUUGGUUACAGACGAGCAUGCGCUCCAUUAGCCGG